rnacentral:lncRNA from 1 species
CAGUGCCUCAGUAUUCAGAGAUGCUGCAAAGUAUGUGGGACAUMUUGUUUCUUCCUCUGUUUUCUCAGGGCAGAAGAACAGGCAUCUUCAUGGAAACAGUGCCUUUUAAGUGAAUCCUUGCAGCAGGCUGGCAAGUUUGUUUGUAGAAGGGAUUGCUUGUGAUGGGGAUUCUCCAGCCAGGACCUCUGAACAGACCAAUGACAAGCUGCCCUAUUUCACAUCACAAGGGUCUCGAAACGUUUUACAGAGGAUACUAACACUGUGGAUUGGGAAACAUCACUUCUCGAUUCAGAGACUUGUUCAAAGCAGCCAGAGGAGCCAGGGAUGUGGCCUGCAAACGUGGUAAUGAYGAAGCUUCCCUUGGUGAUGAGGACGGAGGGAAGCCCAGCAGCCCUGCUCCGCUGCUGUGCGUGUUGCAUCCUUGCUGGCCCCUGUCCAAGCCGGCACACACCGCUGGGACCUGCGCUGACCGGUGUGCGAUGCAAUCAUAUCUGGARCGAAAGGUCUGGCUUGCAGCUUCGUCUGGCCUGGGCAGGGCCAGGAAAUAAUUCCCAAGGCCCCUGCGAAGUUUGCGCUGCCGGCACGAAGCACCACUCCUGAGCYGGGCUGCGUGCAGCGGUGUCAAGCCAGGGCACGCAGAGCCCCUGCUUURGGUGAGGGCUGCUCUAGCAAAGCGCUGUUCCAAGAGAAAAAGGUUAUUUUUCAGGUAAAUGACCUCUUCUUUCUGAAAGGAAAUAAACACAGAUUUUAUUUUUUUUUUUUUUUGCCA